AUUGAACGCUGGCGGCAGGCCUAACACAUGCAAGUCGAACGAGUGGCGGACGGGUGAGUAAUGUCUGGGAAACUGCCUGAUGGAGGGGGAUAACUACUAGAAACGGUAGCUAAUACCGCAUACCAUGAGAUGUGCCCAGAUGGGAGUAGCUGGUUGGGGGGUGAACGGAUCACCAAGGCUACGAUCCCUAGCUGGUCUGAGCGGAUGACCAGCCACACUGGAACUUAUACACGGUCCAGACUCCUACGGGAGGCAGCAGUGGGGAAUAUUGCACAAUGGGCGCAAGCCUGAUGCAGCCAUGCCGCGUGUAUGAAGAAGGCCUUCGGGUUGUAAAGUACUUUCAGCGGGGAGGCGUUACCCGCAGAAGAAGCACCGGCUAACUCCGUGCCAGCCGCCGCGGUAAUUC
rnacentral:rRNA from 1 species